AGCUUGUGAUCAGUUCAAAUACCAGGCCGUUUAUUAGGCACCAGUGUAGUGGUAACUGUAAAACAGCAUUGAAAAAUAGGACUAACUGAGCUACAAUCACAAUGUCAUGCUUCUAAGGGACAGGGGUAACACAAAAGCAGUUACUGCAGGAAUACAUUAAAGAGAAUAAGAUGGACACCCCCACAAAGGGAGAGACACUUCCAUCACUAUCAAAACAUGCCAAGAAUGAUGGGAACAUGCCCUUGAAAGCUAGUCCAGACACAACAACCAUGCUCCCCCAGUUAAACUCUGGAAUGUGCAGAGAUGACAUGCCAGCCUCAACAGUGACUUCACCUAGCCAGUACAGUGUGCAAUUCCACCAAACAGGCUGUGGAGGCAAAAACAGCUUUGAGAUCAUUACUCAGAGGUUAAACCAGUCAAUUCGAGAGUUUGAAGACAUUUAUGAUAUUCGAGAUCCCUGGAUCAGACGUGACAGAGUAUGUAUUGCCAGUGGAUACAGCAGCCUUCACACCUGUGAUUAAUGUUAUACUGGUAUUGCAUUGUUAUGUACAGCAGCCUUCACACCUGUGAUUAAUGUUAUACUGGUAUUGCAUUGUUAUAUACAGCAGCCUUCACACCUGUGAUUAAUGUUAUACUGGUAUUGCAUUGUUAUAUACAGCAGCCUUCACACCUGUGAUUAAUGUUAUACUGGUAUUGCACUGUUAUAUACAGCAGCCUUCACACCUGUGAUUAAUGUUAUACUGGUAUUGCAUUGUUAUAUACAGCAGCCUUCACACCUGUGAUUAAUGUUAUACUGGUAUUGCAUUGUUAUAUACAGCAGCCUUCACACCUGUGAUUAAUGUUAUACUGGUAUUGCACUGUUAUAUACAGCAGCCUUCACACCUGUGAUUAAUGUUAUACUGGUAUUGCAUUGUUAUAUACAGCAGCCUUCACACCUGUGAUUAAUGUUAUACUGGUAUUGCAUUGUUAUAUACAGCAGCCUUCACACCUGUGAUUAAUGUUAUACUGGUAUUGCACUGUUAUAUACAGCAGCCUUCACACCUGUGAUUAAUGUUAUACUGGUAUUGCACUGUUAUAUACAGCAGCCUUCACACCUGUGAUUAAUGUUAUACUGGUAUUGCAUUGUUAUAUACAGCAGCCUUCACACCAAAAGUCAAUGAAAACGUGUUGUUUGUGUUUGUUUUCUGACAGGGGAGUAGAGGUGGAGACUUUAGCUUGCUUCUUACAUCUUUUGAAGCAAUGGCAAUUAAGCUUGACACUACAGUAAAUAAAGAAAUCAAAGUAAGGAAAUCUAUGGGUUAUAGCCUAUACAGUACGCAUAUUUGUUUUCUAUGUUCUCGUUUCCAUCCUUCAUGGGUUUCUUUGGUUAUUAUCAUCACAAAAAACAAGUUACUACAUUAAAAAAAGAAACACCUGCUAGUCUUAUAGUUUUUUUUCAUAUAACUUCCAGAUUUGAUCACACCUUGGUGUAGCUUCCCGAAUUAAACUUUCUGUAUUUCCUUUUCUUCGUUUAUUCAGAUACUGGAAUCGUUGGCCUUUGUAAGUAGAAACAUACGAGUGGAAUGCAUCCAUGACCUUUAUUGUAAAUGUUUGAAAACCUCAUCUUCAGGGUGCCGUUUGUCACAGAAACACUUUCAGAAACAUAAAUCCAAGCUAUAAUCACAUUUAUAUUACCUUUUAUAUUAAAUGUGUAAACAUUCCCUUUAAUUGUGUAUAAAUUAGACAUGUGUUCUACACAUCUCAUUUAUAUUGUUAUUCAACAAAAGUAUAAACUUCUAAUUUUAACAAAGUUUUACUUGUCACUGUUAAUUUUCUCUUCUGCUUGACAGUGGCUGGAGAAUGAGGCAGAGCACAUAGAAAUGGUAAUUGUCCUGUGAAAAGGAUAUUAAAUUAAAGGCAGAAGAACACAAUAUUCCAGGCUAGUUAGACAGUAACAGAAUUAAAUUCCUUUGCUGAAGUAGCAAUUGCAUCAAAGCAAAGUAAAGUAUAAGCAGAAUUAAUAAACCUUAAAGUGCAGUUGCAAAUAUUUGGAACUGUGAAAUCUGUGAAAUAAAACAUUGCCUCAUUGGUAUGAGAAACUGGGACUGAUUUCAAAUUCCUGUAUUUGAGCCUCCUUACGAGAGGGGGUUAAUAUAGAUUGAGGGACUUUCUGUUUCACCAGCUAAAACCAUUACAGCUGCUAGAACCUUGAGAAAUCUGUUGAGUAAUUGUAAUCUUGCCCAUUGACCUUUUCUUCAAAAUAGCUGACUGGCAGCCAUUUUCUAAGUUUAGAAUGCGAAACCUUAAGACCCAAAACAGCUGAAUGGAGGAAUGACCUUUCAUAUAACCCCUUCAGAUUGUUUCAUAUAAACCCUUCAGAUUGUUUCAUAUAACCCCUUCAGAUUGUUUCAUAUGAACCCUUCAGAUUGUUUCACAUAACCCCUUCAGAAUGUGCCUAAUUCUUUUUUUCUUUUUUUCUUUUAAAUUUACUUCCCGCAUUUGUAAUUACUUUAAAAAACCCUGAAGGAUUUUUCAAAUUGUAGUUACUGGUCACCUCCAAAAUGACAUGGCUAUUAGUACUAAUGAUAUAUUGAAGGCUUUACAGACAGUAGUUCUCACUACUGUAUGUAUUUACUAGAUUUGCCUAGAAGCACAGUAGUAUAGCAAAUAUAUCCCCUUCUCAGGCAGAUUCAGAAGAGGCUGCUUCUAAUGUGUAUGAUGCUCAGCCCCCCCUGGAUGAGGAAAUCGUGAUUCAUGAAAUUGUCAGACUAGUGAAAGGCUUUCAAUGCCUUGAUGCUCUAAAGAACCGUGUCAGAGACCUGUCACGGUACAGAUUCCCAACCACGACGUAAGUACCAGGCAAAACCAACUUUAAUAACCCUUUUUAGAUUUUAUUACGACAGAAACAGCUCAUUGGUUUUAAUCAAUGAGCCAAGACAGUGUCUGCUUGGUUAAAGGGUUGAUCAUCCAUAAUUUCAAGCACUGACUCAAUCGUAAAUGUCUAGAGAUCUGUGUGUCAUGGGUUAAAGAGCAUUCUGUUCUAUCACAGAGUCGUAAAUGUCUAGAGAUCUGUGUGUCAUGGGUUAAAGAGCAUUCUGUUCCACUAUCACAGUCGUAAAUGUCUAGAGAUCUGUGUGUCAUGGGUUAAAGAGCAUUCUGUUCCACUAUCACAGAGUUGUAAAUGUCUAGAGAUCUGUGUGUCAUGGGUUAAUGAGCAUUCUGUUCUAUCACAGAGUCGUAAAUGUCUAGAGAUCUGUGUGUCAUGGGUUAAAGAGCAUUCUGUUCUAUCACAGAGUCGUAAAUGUCUAGAGAUCUGUGUGUCAUGGGUUAAAGAGCAUUCUGUUCCACUAUCACAGAGUUGUAAAUGUCUAGAGAUCUGUGUGUCAUGGGUUAAAGAGCAUUCUGUUCUAUCACCGAGUCGUAAAUGUCUAGAGAUCUGUGUGUCAUGGGUUAAAGAGCAUUCUGUUCUAUCACAGAGUCGUAAAUGUCUAGAGAUCUGUGUGUCAUGGGUUAAAGAGCAUUCUGUUCUAUCACAUAGUCGUAAAUGUCUAGAGAUCUGUGUGUCAUGGGUUAAUGAGCAUUCUGUUCUAUCACAGAGUCGUAAAUGUCUAGAGAUCUGUGUGUCAUGGGUUAAAGAGCAUUCUGUUCUAUCACAGAGUCGUAAAUGUCUAGAGAUCUGUGUGUCAUGGGUUAAAGAGCAUUCUGUUCUACUAUCACAGGGGUGACACUUUUUUAAAUGUGCAGAAAUGUAUAAUUUGGAAUGCAAGUCUUCCAGUUUAUUCAAGUCGGUACGAGUGGUGGGGUUGUGGAAUUAAGUUUAUGAAUAGCAAAAAUGAUGAAAACAAUCCCAGUUAGGCCUUGAAAGAAAAUUGCAAGAUUACAUAGAGCAUGGAUGCCUCAAUAGUGAAAUGUAACAUGUAUGCAUUGAUACCUGUAGAUUUGUUAUGAAAUGUAACAUGUAUGCAUUGAUACCUGUAGAUUUGUUAUGAAAUGUAACAUGUAUGCAUUGAUACCUGUAGAUUUGUUAUGAAAUGUAACAUGUAUGCAUUGAUACCUGUAGAUUUGUUAUGAAAUGUAACAUGUAUGCAUUGAUACCUGUAGAUUUGUUAUGAAAUGUAACAUGUAUGCAUUGAUACCUGUAGAUUUGUUAUGAAAUGUAACAUGUAUGCAUUGAUACCUGUAGAUUUGUUAUGAAAUGUAACAUGUAUGCAUUGAUACCUGUAGAUUUGUUAUGAAAUGUAACAUGUAUGCAUUGAUACCUGUAGAUUUGUUAUGAAAUGUAACAUGUAUGCAUUGAUACCUGUAGAUUUGUUAUGAAAUGUAACAUGUAUGCAUUGAU